rnacentral:rRNA from 1 species
CAAAAACAUGGCCUCUUGCAAACCCCCAAAAAUAAGAGGUCCAACCUGCCCAGUGACUUCAAAAAGUUAAACGGCCGCGGUAUUUUAACCGUGCUAAGGUAGCGUAAUCACUUGUCUUUUAAAUGAAGACCCGUAUGAAAGGUACCACGAAGACCUUACUGUCUCCUUCCUCAAGUCAGUGAAAUUGAUCUAUUCGUGCAGAAGCGAAUAUCACAACAUAAGACGAGAAGACCCUGUGGAGCUUAAGAUGUUUAUUUACUUGCGCUUAGUAAAAUUAUCAACUAAUUUUAAAGCCUAGCAACCCUAACAUACAACAUCUUCGGUUGGGGCGACCAUGGAGGACAAAAAAGCCUCCAAGAAGAAACUCGGGGAAUAGUCAAACAAUCCCUAAGAACCAAGAACCACAAUUCCAAGUAACAGAAAAUUCUGACUAACAAUGAUCCGAACUUUUCGAUCAACGAACCAAGUUACCCCAGGGAUAACAGCGCAAUCCUUUCCAAGAGCCCAUAUCGCCGAAAGGGUUUACGACCUCGAUGUUGGAUCAGGACAUCCUAAUGGCGAAAAUUCUAUUAAGGGUUCGUUUGUUCAACGAUUAAAGUCCUACGUGA